UGCGGAGGGAGCUAGCGUUGUUCGGAAUUACUGGGCGUAAAGCGUACGUAGGCGGUUACUCAAGUCAGAGGUGAAAGCCCGGGGCUCAACCCCGGAACUGCCUUUGAAACUAGGUAGCUAGAAUCUUGGAGAGGUCAGUGGAAUUCCGAGUGUAGAGGUGAAAUUCGUAGAUAUUCGGAAGAACACCAGUGGCGAAGGCGACUGACUGGACAAGUAUUGACGCUGAGGUACGAAAGCGUGGGGAGCAAACAGG
rnacentral:rRNA from 1 species